GACGAACGCUGGCGGCGUGCUUAACACAUGCAAGUCGAGCGAUGAAAUUCCCUCGGGAAUGGAUUAGCGGCGGACGGGUGAGUAACACGUGGGUAACCUGCCUCAUAGAGGGGAAUAGCCUUCCGAAAGGAAGAUUAAUACCGCAUAAGAUUGUAGUAUCGCAUGAUACAGCAAUUAAAGGAGCAAUCCGCUAUGAGAUGGACCCGCGUCGCAUUAGCUAGUUGGUGAGGUAACGGCUCACCAAGGCGACGAUGCGUAGCCGACCUGAGAGGGUGAUCGGCCACAUUGGGACUGAGACACGGCCCAGACUCCUACGGGAGGCAGCAGUGGGGAAUAUUGCACAAUGGGGGAAACCCUGAUGCAGCAACGCCGCGUGAGUGAUGACGGUCUUCGGAUUGUAAAGCUCUGUCUUCAGGGACGAUAAUGACGGUACCUGAGGAGGAAGCCACGGCUAACUACGUGCCAGCCGCCGCGGUAAUAC
rnacentral:rRNA from 1 species